GCAGGAGCGGGAAGGAGGGGGAGGGCAGCUCAGUUCUCCCAAGCAGACCAGGCCGCACACUUCCCUAUGACACCCCACCUCCCCUCCCCGCCACCCCCGAGAGAUUCGGGGAAACUCGGGCGCAGGGGAGGGACCUUGGGAGAGUGACUGCGGUUUGGCUGCCUCCAGCACCCAUCCGAGCAAACACCUGUUUCCAGAAAGCUGUGUGGCCAGAGGGAGCCGGGAUCCCGGGGACAGGCAGGGAGGACAAGGCUGGGAGUAUGGAUCAACCUGCCAACUCCCAUGUUCAGCAGAGAAGCAAUUACAGAAGCCAGACCUUCUACCUUCUGCAUCCCAUAAUGAUCCUGAGUCCAUACUCCCAGAGGGAUAAAGAAAAGGAAAGCUUUCAAAGGAGGAGAUGGGAUAUGGAGUUCUGGUGGUGGGGAUUAUGUGGAGUUGUACCCCUCUUAUCCUACGGUCUUGUCAAUAUUUCCAUUUUAUAAAUGAAUUUUAAAAAGUGUCUUUCCCUGUCUGCCUUCCCCUCUCAAUUCUGUCUCUAUCAAGAAAAAUAAAUAAAACUUUGAAAACUG